UCUCCGUAGGUGAACCUGCGGAGGGAUCAUUACUGAGUGAGGGCUUCGGUCCGACCUCCAACCCUUUGUGAACCAAACUUGUUGCUUCGGGGGCGACCCUGCCGUUCGCGGCGUGGGGCCCCCGGUGGUCCACACCUCAACUCUUGCAUCUGUGCGUCUGAGUAACAUAUUGAAUCAAUCAAAACUUUCAACAACGGAUCUCUUGGUUCUGGCAUCGAUGAAGAACGCAGC
rnacentral:misc_RNA from 1 species